AAUCAACGCUGGCGGCGUGCCUCAGACAUGCAAGUCGAACGCGAAAGGCUCCUUCGGGAGCCCGGUAGAGUGGCGCACGGGUGAGUAACACGUAGGUAAUUUGCCUUCGGGUGGGGAAUAACUCAGGGAAACUUGAGCUAAUACCGCAUAAUGCAGCGGCUCGACAUCGAGACAGUUGUUAAAGCGGGGGAUUCGUAAGAACCUCGCGCCUGAAGAGAAGCCUGCGGCAGAUUAGCUAGUUGGUAGGGUAAUGGCCUACCAAGGCGACGAUCUGUAACCGGCCUGAGAGGGCGGUCGGGUCACACUGACACUGACAUACGGGUCA
rnacentral:rRNA from 1 species